GGGGGGGGUGUUUAGUGCCUGCUUUUGUCCUCUGCUUCAUUCUAUCCCGUGCCCGUGGAGGUGAGCUUCUGAUCCAGUGAGCGGGAGAGGCCAGGGUUGCAAUUAUGGUGCUGUGUUUUACAUUGGAAAUGCCAAAGACCAGUGUGUAUUGAAUCAAAACAUCUAUUAAUUCCCCUCACUGCAGCUCUCUCAAUAGAACGGAUGGCGCAGCGGGUAGAGCCGCUGCCUCACAGUGCCAGAGUCAGGAUAGUUCCCAGGUCUCUGGUGCUGUAAGGCAGCAACUCUACCGCUGUGCCUCUGUGCUGCCCCAAGUUGCCCCUAGUGUGCGGGGAGUGGAUGAGAAAGUGGGAGGACAUGGAACUCGUGUGUGAAGGGGUGAUCGCUGGGUUGACUUGGACUGUAUCUCUAAACUAAGCUAAUCUCCAACUGUUCUCACACAGGGGAGAAACCUGAAGCUGCCUCUGUUGUGUGACUGCCCCGUUGCUAAGAAAGUGAAUUCUCAACAUCACACACUGCGACCCCAUCCGCCUACCAAAAAAACCUUGUCCCAGUUUGUAUUCCUCACCUCCAGCCUCAGACACUUCCCCCUCCCAGUGUCUCCGCCUCUGAACGCGUGCGGCUGUGGAAUUGUGUCCAGUUGUACAGGUCAACCACCAAUUCUACAGCGCCGUUAGGUCCACAGCUUUGCUGGUUUAUCCAUUUUGCUGGACCAACGAAGGUCACGGCAGGUGGGGUGGCGGGCGGGCGGCUCACAUUUGAUCUGCAGAGCGGCCACGGAAAUCCCGAUGAGGUGGAGAUCGGCCGCCUCACCCGGCCUAGGCGCCAGUUUCGGGGGGAAGGGAGGGGGGGCUCUGGUGCUCAAGAGCACUCGUAACUUUUUCCGGAUUAAAGGAGGUGGCAGAACACCAGUUGCGGUAAAAUCAGUGGUAGACCUGUAGCUAGUGUGGAGAUGGUUAGUUUGGGCCAAGUCUAAUGCCCAGCGCAGAGAUAAUGAUCAGUCACCAGUAACACUGUGCUAACAUUUAUUGGUCAUUUACACUUAUAAAGGUUCAUCUUCUUUUUAAA